CCCUAGUACGGCGAGUGAAGAGGGAAGAGCCCAAGAUUGAAAGCUGGCGUCUUCGGCGUCCGCAUUGUAAUCUCAAGAAGUGUUUUCCGCUUCGGACCAUGCCUAAGUCCCCUGGAAAGGGGCAUCAUAGAGGGUGAUAAUCCCGUACAUGGCAUGGAGCGCCCGAAGCUUUGUGAUACGCUUUCUAAGAGUCGAGUUGUUUGGGAAUGCAGCUCAAAAUGGGUGGUAAAUGCCAUCUAAGGCUAAAUAUUGGGGAGAGACCGAUAGCGAACAAGUACAGUGAUGGAAAGAUGAAAAGAACUUUGAAAAGAGAGUUAAACAGUACGUGAAAUUGCCAAAAGGGAAGGGUAGGAGGUCAGAGAUGCGUCUUGGGAUUCAGCCUUGCUUCUGCUUGGUGUUUUUCCCAAGUUUGCAGGCCAACGUCGGUUUUGGGCACUGGAGAAGGGUAGAAGGAACGUGGCACCUCUCGGGGUGUGUUAUAGCCUUCUACUGGAUACAGCGACCGAGACCGAGGACAGCAGCGUACUCGCAAGAGCGGGCCUUCGGGCACCUUUACGCU
rnacentral:rRNA from 1 species